rnacentral:rRNA from 1 species
UAUCUAAUCCUGUUCGCUCCCCACGCUUUCGUCCCUCAGCGUCAGUACAUACGUAGUAGACUGCCUUCGCAAUCGGUAUUCUGUGUAAUAUCUAUGCAUUUCACCGCUACACUACACAUUCUAUCUACUUCCAUAUGACUCAAGUCAACCAGUAUCAAAGGCAGUUCCAUAGUUGAGCUAUGGGAUUUCACCUCUGACUUAAUCGACCGCCUGCGGACCCUUUAAACCCAAUGAUUCCGGAUAACGCUCGGACCCUCCGUAUUACCGCGGCUGCUGGCACGGAGUUAGCCGGUCCUUAUUCUUACAGUACCGUCAAGCUGGUAUACAUACCAGUGUUUCUUCCUGUAUAAAAGUAGUUUACAACCCAUAGGGCAUUCUUCCUACACGCGGCAUGGCUGGAUCAGAGUCUCCUCCAUUGUCCAAUAUUCCUCACUGCUGCCUCCCGUAGGAGUCUGGUCCGUGUCUCAGUACCAGUGUGGGGGAUCUCCCUCUCAGGACCCCUACCUAUCGCUGUCUUGGUAAGCCGUUACCUUACCAACUAACUAAUAGGACGCAUAGCCAUCUUUUACCGAUAAAUCUUUAAUUAUAAACUGAUGCCAGUCUACAAUACUAUGAGGCAUUAAUCUUCAUUUCUAAAGGCUAUUCCUCUGUAAAAGGUAGGUUCUAUACGCGUUACGCACCCGUGCGCCGGUCGUCAUCUGUGCAAGCACAAUGUUACCCCUCGACUUGCAUGUGUUAAGCCUGCCGCUAGCGUUCAUCCUGAGCCAGGAUCAAACUCU